rnacentral:rRNA from 1 species
CAAUAGCGUAUAUUAAAGUUGUUGCAGUUAAAAAGCUCGUGGUUGGAUUUCUGGUGGGAGCGAUCGGUCUGGCGCUUAGCGCGAGUACUUGCAUCGUCUCCGGCCAUCCUUGGGGAGAGUCUGUCUGGCAUUAGGUUGUCGGGCAGAGGAUCCUCAUCGUUUACUGUGAAAAAAUUAGAGUGUUCAAAGCAGGCUUAUGCCGUUGAAUAUAUUAGCAUGGAAUAAUAAGAUAGGACUUUGGUACUAUUUUGUUGGUUUGCGCACCAAAGUAAUGAUUAAUAGGGACAGUUGGGGGUAUUCGUAUUCCGUUGUCAGAGGUGAAAUUCUUGGAUUUACGGAAGACGAACUACUGCGAAAGCAUUCACCAAGGAUGUUUUCAUUAA